UCUCCCCCACGAACCCCUCUCCCUCGCCGCCGCCACCACCGACGCCGGCUGGUUCCGGCGAGCUCCGGCGGCGCGCAGCACACCCCGAGCUCCCCUAGGUCCGCUCCACCCUCCCCUCCGUCCAGAAUCAGCGCUCCCGUCCUCCACCGACCCCGUGGCUAGCUAGGGUUUCGACCGCCACCCCUAACAUCGCCGGGAUCAGCCAGAUCCGGCGACGGCGAGGCCAGAGCUCGACAGAUCCGUUACGGGCGUGGCGCAGGUCACCUUGGUGCGGUCUGGACGGCGGCGACGGCAGGAGGGCGCCGUCCUUCCUACUCGAGGAGGCGGAGGACGAGGGGCGCACCUAGCUGGCGGCCUUGUCCUGCUCGAGGAGGCGGGCGCUGCCGAGCUCAAGCACGGCCACGACGACCCACCUCGGCAGAGAUGCAGGGAGGGAGGGACUUCCAUGGAUUGGACUGCAAGGAUUGGAUGCAAACCAAUGCACAUGAGGAGGAGAGAUGCAAGCCAGGUCAUGACCUAAAGAUGUCCUUGGAGAAGAUGGCCAUUGGAGUGUAGGGGAGAAACAACCUUGUCUUGCUCGAGGAGGAGGAGGAGGACCACCCGAGCUCGACGACGACAUGGCAACAGGUAGCACUCGCCUCUCUCCCAAGGUGAAGGUCUGGUCCGCCUGUUUAGAUGGUCUGCUCUCGUCUUAUGCAUGUGAGGGGAGAAGAAAGCCAUUGGACUGAAUUAUAUUUGCAUGUGAGGGGGGUGAUCCUUUUGGUAGAUGCAGAGUAUAGAUUCACAAAAUUCACCACAUGAGCGUACUACCUAUAUCCAAAUUAUGGAUACCACUUGCAUCUUUUGUAUGUACACAUGAAAAAGCACGACGGUUUGCUUCAGUUUGUAUGUAUCCAAUUGUUUUUUACUUUUGACUGAAACUAUCUAUCUUGGUGGCACUUGCAUCUCCUGUACAUACAUACAUAUGAAUCAGGACCACACUUUUCUUCAAUUUGUAUGUGUCAAUUUUUUUGGUUGAACUUUGAGUGAAACCAACUGGCUGGCACCUCAAUCUGUACAUACACAUGAAUCAGCACCACCCUUGGUUCAGUUUUGUAUGUGUCCAUUUGUUUUUACUUUGACUAAAGCGAACUUGAUGACACUUGCAUCUUCUGUAUAUACAUAUAUACAUAUGAAUCAGCACCACUCUUUUUCUCUUUGAAGCUUGCCUUGAACAAGAACUGAUGCUUGAUAGAUACAACCGAAACUGGAGCAUCUCUGUACUGUAUGUAUUAGUAGUAUUGUUCGGUUCAAGCACCAACAUGACAAGUUAUCUAUAACAAAAGCAAUAAUUUUCUGCCUUUUUAGUUCUAGGUGAUUUUCUUUUGGUAAAUUUAAUGUAUAGAUUACAUAUUCAUCCUCAUAUGUAGGAUCUUUUGUUUGUUGUACUGACUGUAUGCCACCUCCAUCGUUGCAGCCUUGUCUCCCCCACCACCGCCCCUCGGCCUCCUAUAAUGUUGUUGUGGAUUCUUAGAAUGGAAAUGUUAUGUACAUAAAAAAUAUACUAUGGUCUGUGUUUGCAAAUCCAUGGCUGUUGAAUCAUGUUUGUAUAAGCAUUGGUAAAUAGCUAGCCUUGUUGGCUAAUC